AGACAGGCUGCAUCGACUUGAUCUCCGACCACCACGAGCUCGUCCUUGGAAUCCCCUUGUAUCGCCACUGACAUCACGCCUGAAGAUCAAAGGCGGCUGCAACCUUCAUCGCCUUUUUCCUGCAUUUUUCGCAUUUGACGGAUAUCUUGAUAACAAUCUUCUUCUGGACAGAAACACCACCGACCCAUGAUUCAGAAUUGAGAAUUGUGAACAAAAGUGAAAUGCAUUUGCAUCGGACAAGAAAUGGUAUAUACCUUCAUGUUCCUUGAUGAUGCUUUGUUUUGGGGCAAGGAUGAGGGAGCUGAAUGAAUGACAUUUGGGGUUUAUAUCAUUAUCUGUGUUUUAUUCGAAUCGAAUGCCUUUGGGUUUGUGCUCAGCACGAAGGUUGAAGGGGCCGAGUCAACUGCAUCAACUUGGCUUUUAAAACUGAAAUAUUACAAGAUCGUUCUUGUUUUAUGUUUUGAAGUCAGAUUAUUGUCUCUUGCUGGAUGGAUGGUACACGUGGACAGUUUUCUUAGAAUUUUGUACACGGAUUAAUACGUGUGAUUGUGUAUUAUUUUAUUUGGGUCAUUCA